UAUUGUGUGUUGUAUCUGUUGUACUAACCGGUGAAGUUGUUAUAUUGAGUGGUGUGACUGUUGUACUGACCGGUGAGUUUGCUAUAUUGUGUGUUGUAUCUGCUGUACUGACCGGUGGGGUUGUUAUAUUGUGUGUUGUACCUGCUGAAUUAACCAGUGAGUUUGCUAUAUUGUGUGUUGUAUCUGUUGUACUGACUGGUGGGGUUGUUAUAUUGUGUGUUGUAUUUGUUGUACUGACCGGUGAAGUUGUUAUAUUGUGUGUUGUAUCUGUUGUAAUGACUGGUGAAUUUGCUAUAUUGUGUGUUGUAUCGGUCGUACUGACUGGUGAGUUUGCUAUAUUGUGUGUUGUAUCUGUUGUACUGACUGGUGAAGUUGUUAUAUUGUGUGUUGUACCUGCUGAAUUAACCAGUGAGUUUGCUAUAUUGUGUGUUGUAUCUGUUGUACUAACCGGUGAAGUUGUUAUAUUGAGUGGUGUGACUGUUGUACUGACCGGUGGGUUUGCUAUAUUGUGUGUUGUAUCUGUUGUACUGACCAGUGGGGUUGUUAUAUUGUGUGUUGUGUCUGUUCUACUGACUGGUGAAGUUGUUAUAUUGUGUGUUGUAUCUGCUGUACUGACCGGUGAGUCUGCUAUAUUGUGUGUUGUAU